rnacentral:lncRNA from 1 species
AGGAAUCGGAGAAGAAACCCGACAAACCUAAAGAAGCCGAGAAGCCGAAAGAAGCUGAGAAGAAGCCGGAAAAACCCAAAGAAGCUGAGAAGAAGCCGGAAAAACCCAAAGAUCCUGAGAAGAAGCCGGAAAAACCCAAAGAUCCUGCUCCUGAGAAGAAGCCGGAAAAACCCAAAGAACCUGCUCCUGGGAAGAGACCGCCAAAGCCCAAAGACGGUGGUGAGACGAAACCGGAUAUACCUAGAGAGGUGGCGUCGCAGCAGAAUGUUGCGGCACCUUCUCCUUUACCGCCGAUGACGUAUGCAGUUGGGUAUACUUGCUCCGAGGGUUAUUAUAAUGGUUAUGGUGGAGGACCUAGCUAUUAUGGUGGACCACCCCAACAACCGUUCCCAUAUUACGAGACUUACGGUAGGCCUGUUUAUGACAGCUGGGGUGGCGGCGGCGGUGGCUACUACAGGUACGGCGGCCGUACCGGUGAAUGUUUUAGUGAAGAAAACCCUCAAGGUUGCUCGAUCAUGUAAAAAAACCGCGGGAAUUCGUUAUACUAUAAUGGUAAUAAUAAAUUCUCUUGUCUAC